UGCCGGCGACCGGCGCACGGUGAGUAACACGUAUGCGACCUGCCCCCCGCAGGGGGAUAACCGGGAGAAAUCCCGACUAAUACCGCGUAACGCCGCGGACCUGCAUGGGUCUGCGGCCAAAGGAAGCGAUUCCGGCGGGGGAUGGGCAUGCGGCGCAUUAGCUAGUCGGCGGGGUAACGGCCCACCGAGGCGACGAUGCGUAGGGGUUCUGAGAGGAAGGUCCCCCACACUGGUACUGAGACACGGACCAGACUCCUACGGGAGGCAGCAG
rnacentral:rRNA from 1 species